CCCUUAGAUGUUCUGGGCCGCACGCGCGCUACACUGUUCGACGCAGCGAGUCUUAACCUUGGCCGAAAGGUUUGGGUAAUCUUCAGCAAAGUCGAACGUGAUGGGGAUCGAUCAUUGCAAUUAUUGAUCGUGAACGAGGAAUUCCUAGUAAGUGCAAGUCAUCAGCUUGCGCUGAUUACGUCCCUGCCCUUUGUACACACCGCCCGUCGCUACUACCGAUUGAAUGGUUUAGUGAGAUCUCUGGAUUGACGCUGGCUAGGGGGCGACCCUUGGCCAGGCUGUCGAGAAACUGCUCAAACUUGAUCAUUUAGAGGAAGUAAAAGUCGUAACA
rnacentral:rRNA from 1 species